GGGACUAGCCGGGAUUUGAACCCGGGGCCUCUCACAAAGGAUAGUUGUAACUAACCGGGGCUAACCGACGUAGCUGAACCCGAAGCGAAAAUCAUACCACUAGACCACUAGUCC